rnacentral:rRNA from 1 species
AGCGGAGCGUGUGGUUAAUUCGAUGCUACGCGAAGAACCUUACCAGGCCUUGACAUGCAGAGAACUUUCCAGAGAUGGAUUGGUGCCUUCGGGAACUCUGACACAGGUGCUGCAUGGCUGUCGUCAGCUCGUGUCGUGAGAUGUUGGGUUAAGUCCCGUAACGAGCGCAACCCUUGUCCUUAGUUACCAGCACGUUAUGGUGGGCACUCUAAGGAGACUGCCGGUGACAAACCGGAGGAAGUGGGGAUGACGUCAAGUCAUCAUGGCCCCUACGGCCUGGGCUACACACGUGCUACAAUGGUCGGUACAAAGGGUUGCCAAGCCGCGAGGUGGAGCUAAUCCCAUAAAACCGAUCGUAGUCCGGAUCGCAGUCUGCAACUCGACUGCGUGAAGUCGGAAUCGCUAGUAAUCGUGAAUCAGAAUGUCACGGUGAAUACGUUCCCGGGCCUU